rnacentral:lncRNA from 1 species
GCUGUAUGUUAUAGGUCCUGUCCAGUAGGUACGAUUGUCCAGUGGCUAAGCUGUAUAUUAUAGGUCCUGUACAGUAGGUACAAUUGUCCAGUGGCUUAUAUAUGAUAAGCUGUAUAUUAUAGGUCCUGUACAGUAUAUAAAUACAUGUUAAGAGAUGUGGCUGUAUAUAUGUAUCAUAUUUAAUUGAAGAUUGUUUACUGAUACAGUUUAUCUAGAUAUAGAUAUGAUAAAUAACAACCUGUUUGUUGGAGAAAUCCAAAUUUUUUUGGGCUUCAGCACGACGUUUUAUGCAUCUAGGACAACAUUAUAUUUAUUGUAGACCAAGAGAUAUUGAGAUUGUCAUGUAUUCUAUUAAAGCACGGAUGAUGUGCCAUGGGGACUACGAUUUGUCCGGAUCGUGAUUUAUCCCAAGACAAUGUAUGAUACAUAAUGUACUAGACAACUCUUUUGUGGCAUAUACAUAAAUUUUGCAAAUUUUCAUUUACAUUUACACUGUUUUAGAGCUGGAUAUUUUGCACAGAAAUUGAAAUAUUGAAAUAUUUAAAAACUAUUUUGUGAUUCUUGCACUGAAAUACUGUUCAGCAAAUAAUAUGAAGAUUAUGAUUAGCUCUGGUACAGGUAAAACAGAUCAAAUUGAUGACCAUGAAAUCUCCGUUUUAAAAAUGUAAAAUGUACAACAUUCCAAUUUAUUUAUUUUCAGUUUGAGAGACACUUCUACAGUUUACAUUUGAUGAUACAAUCUUAGAGUCUGUUAUACUUUUGAACUUUCAAAAAAAAGAAAUUUUCAUAAUUAGAUGAUAACAACCAUCAUUAAAAUAUGUCAAAUUGUAAAUAUGACAUUGAUAUAAUACUCUAUAUGAGCUUCUAUUUAAUUUAGACCCAUUAACUACCGAAACAACUAAUCCCAGAGUACCCAGAAAAGUACAUGCAGAUGUAAAUACCCACCAAAAUAAUCAUGUUGUACAGGAGUUGUCUCUCUUGACAGACUCUUUCUGGAACCAUAAUAGUCCUUUUUUCAUGUUUGGAUCAUCUGUUGUAGAAUAGAUCGUUGGCAUUGCAAAAAAUGAAACUUAAAAGAUUUUCAGUAUUUUGUCUUAACAUGUUUUCAUCAUUGCAUUUUAAGGAGCAUGAAUGUCAUCUGGUCCAUUUAAUUUCCAAAGCAGACAAAAAAUGAGUUUUGAAAUACAUAUAAUUUUUGGGAUGAAAAAGAAUGGAGAAUGCUUGUCUAUGCAAAAUCUGCUCAUCUAAGAAUUAUUUUAUGAAUCAUGUUUUAUGCUGGACAUUUAAUUUAAUACCUGCUGAUCAUAAGCUAAAAUGUAUAAUUUUUUGUAAAUGUAAUUUUACAUUCACUGUCAUUGUCAGUAUGAAAUAUUUUGGAUAUCCAAUAUUAUAUCUCUAGUGACAGUCCAUCACUAUAGAAAUGUUUUGGAUACCAUGUAGCCUCUUUAUGUUUUCUGCCUUAAAAUGUAGUAAAAAAUCCAGGCAGAAAAACUUUUUUGUUGGUAAAUAUGCAUGUUACACAUGUUCAGUGGUAAAUCCUGAUACCAGAUGUGACCGAAAAUCCAACUGACCCAGGCAAGACAGGGUUUACGCCAUUGUACACAUCAUGUAAUCAUUGGCACACAUUUCUAUGAUUCCUAUAUAUAGACUGUGUGCUGAUAGGUUGACUACUUUUGAGAUUAGUUGGUUGUAACAGAACUAUAACUACCUUUGUUUUGUUUCUGUACCUGUGUCAUUUGUUUUGCUAGAUCAAAAUUAUACACUCUAUAGUAUUUCUAUAUUUACAAGAAUAAACUGGAGUUACACAG